rnacentral:ribozyme from 2 species
GUAAAAACUCCACCUGCAGCUCUUUUGGAGUUACUGCCGGUCCCAAGCCCGGAUAAAGGAGGAGGGUUGG